rnacentral:lncRNA from 1 species
AACUCUUGAAAUAAUUGAGAUGUCUAAAUGUCCCAACUCUACAAGUUACAGUUACAGCAAAUUCGGGAAGAGCAAAUAAGCAUGGGAUAUACUGAUCUGAAGAUCCUUAUUUCAUAAUGGAUGACCGAUAUUCUCAAGUAUGUUUGGUUUGGGCAGCCACUUCAUUGUACUUCUUUUUUCUUUGACAGUCCAUUGCUUCUGCACUACUAAUGGUCUUGUGUCUCUGUUCAGCAUCAAGAUCAAGUCAUUCUUGUCUUCUUUGUAAGUUUUUCGUUUUUCCUGUGACAGAAUCUUGUAGUGGGAUAUCACUUCCCAAGUUUGAUGUUGUUUGUAAAGAUUCAAGUGGAUUUGUCUCAAAUAAGAGUCAGGUUUUCAAGAAUGUUUUGCACUUAUUUGAAGGUAAUACUGCUUAGUUGCAUAUCGACUACUGUUUUGUUCAACCUAUAGGUAUAGGUACAACUAAAUGAGUUCGUCGAGUAGAAUAAAUGCCAUUGACGUCCUAUUUUCUAGAAUUCAUGGUUACAAUUUCUGAUCUUUCUGACUCUCCCAGUAGAACUUUAUUAAAUCAUAUAAUCAAUCAGGUUUAAAAUCAAGCACUCAGCAUAUUAAUACCUGUUAUAUAUAGCGGUUUACUAGAAUCCAUUUCUUGAUCCAAUUAUAAUAGUUUAAUAGAUCAGGCAAAAUCGGACCUCUUCCCCCAUUCAAAAUUUGAAAUAAAUCUUAGAAGAAAGCCUAUAACGAUUUCAGGUUUGCUGGCACAAUCAUCAAUUCAAUAUUAUACUACAUUUUGAAAUUUCAGGGAUAUAGAUAUGCAGGCUAAAGUAAAAGUUCCUCUUUGUCUGAGCAUUUGAUGCAUUUCUUGUGCAACAAAAAUAAAGCCAAUUCAAGAUAGGACUUAACAAAAUUAGAAUGGAUUGCUCAAAAAAAUAAAAAAUAAAAAAUGGAAGGGAUUAGAGCAGAUCAGUUCAAGAAAGGCUUCAGCAUAACAAGAAAGGGAUCAUCAGACAACUUCCAAAUCAAAAUAAAAAUUAAUAAUGAAGGACAUGGGCCUUUUAAAAAUAACAUCAUGUCGUGUGAUUCAUGCUUCCUCUUAAAUACUACGUGGAAGACCUAAUGACCAUGUGGAAGGCAAGUUUUUAAAGGUUAUACUCGAAUUUUUUUAAAUCUCUUUUACCCUCCUAUUAAUAAGUGUCGAGCCUGUGCAAUAGUAAAUACCUACUCAAAUAAAGUACAAAAUUUUAUAUAUAACGGUGAGUAGAGUUGAAUCCAUAGGGACUCGAAAAAAAUUUAUUUCUUCUAAAGUUCAAGUAUGGGGGGAUUUUUGGGAAAAUGGAAGUAAUUCAAUAAAUAAAUAAGUAAUUGAAAACUAAAUGAUAAUGUAUUAAAAUCGAAUCAAUAAUAAUUGAACUCUAGCCAAGAAAUAACUUUGGAAAUUGUUCAUUUAAUUGAUUAUUGAUGCAAUAAUAAUUCCACUUAUUAACUGAUAAACAAGUUAUAACUGCCAACUAAGCAAUGACAGUUAACUUCUCCUUAUUUUAUCGAUAGUCAAGGUACUACUAUUAGCCAUUGCCCUAAUCAAGAAAUAACCCUAACUAUGAUCUUAGAGUUCAAUUUUCCAAUUACCUUAAGAACUAGAAAAGUCAUGUUCCAACCAAAUAACACGCUACAACGGUUAUUUUAAGUUAGCCCAUAUAUUCCCCUGACACAAAUCCAAUCAUGUCAGUCACCACUAAUUUAAAGUAAUUAAAUAAUUACGGAUUUAACUGCUCUAAUGGUUGUAAGUUGUUAGAUUAAAGUAAAUAUUGGGCGUCCUUGAUAUUCAAAUAAAAUAAUAACCAUAAGAAAUUAAUUCAGAGAACAUAUGAAUACCAGUAAAUAAAAGAUAUAAAUAUAAUUAAUUCGAUUUCACAAUUUUUAGGUGAACCAAAUCCUUUUUUGUUUCUUGAUUAGAAUGACAAACUUAGUUCAUCAUCAUGGAAAAAGCCAUGCGCAAAAUAUUGAAAUUUAUUACUGCGGGCAUUCACCAAUUGAAAUGAAUUCCAGAGGAAAAGAAAAGGAAGUCCGUUGUCUUGUUUCUUGCUAAGAAUAAAAGAUACUCCCUCCGUCCCAUUUUGAUAGUCCUGUUUUCCUUUUUCGUCUGUCCCAAAUUGUAGUCCACUUUCCAAUUGAACAAUAUAGUUGUAUUUUAAUUUUUCUAAAAUACCCUUAUUCAAUGUAAGUUGUUGUUACUAUAAAUCUACCCCAUUUAAUGAGAGUUGAUUCUUUUUUUACCAUCAAUUCAAGUUCCCAUAAAGUUGUACUCUAAUUAAUGUGAGGGUAUUUUAGGAAAAUAGUUACCUAAAUUGAUUGUUCCAACAAAGUUAACUACUUUUUCGUAAACUGUGUGAAAAAAAAAAUCAGGACUAUCAAAAUGGGACGGAGGGAGUACCUACUAACUAGUCUCCCACUUGGGGAACGAAGAGAUAAAGAAACAAUAAUCCUCUGUCGUUCCGUUUCCUAAUACUACUAGACUAUUUCUAUUUAGCGAAAUCCAAUUUCCAAUCCGCCUUGAUUCUUUCAAAAAGUCAAGAUAGAUAACUAGACCAGUGACCUAAUAAAAUAUAGGAGACUAGUCAUUCCGUGCAGAGUUCGACUUCCACGGCUUCGUUCCGACUUCAAUUCAAGAUUGAAAAUCGCGCACAAAAUCUAGAGUUUCCGGACACGCAGAGUUAGAUCUUGAUGCACCUAUACCAAAUUUACAUAGAAAUUAGUUAAAAUUCAUGUUUUUAACUCAUUUUUGUUUCGAAUCCUUACAACCAACACCAAUUAUCAAAUAUAAGUAGAAUUUAUCAAUUAACGCAAUAUUUGAUCAAAAUUAAAGGAAAAAUAAUCAUGAAUUUUAUAACAAAAAUGCAACCUAUCACCUGUCCUCUCCCACAUCCUUUUCCCUCCUAAUUAAGGAGCACAUGAUUCGAAUACUAAACUUGAUAGUUAAGAAGAUUCCAAUAGCGCUUCUCUGACCAUUGGUUUGAUCCGGUGGUUAGUAAUACUCUGAUUGCUCAACCAAGUUUAUGAAUUCUCUAAGAACUUAUUUAUCUUUCUUAACUACAAUUAUAUACCAUUGGGGGGAGGGGGGGUUUAUGGUAGUUAGCAGAAUAACUUCUAAUACACAGCACAUAUUAAAUUGAUUGUUAUACAAAAUGAAGGAAGAAAAACGCAAGUUAAGAAAGUUCCUCUCUUUUUUAAUCCCUCUCGAUAUUUUUUCCACUCCCAAUUAUUAGGCUCAGGGUUUGAAUCUUAAAUUUGACAUUGAGAAAAAUCCAAGUUAAGAGAGCUAAUUGUACUUUGUUGUACAAUUAGAUCAUUAGAUCAUAUAGCAACCAGGUAAAGAAUUAAGAAACCCAACAUUUUAAUAAUUUGUUGUAUUGCUGUUCAGCUUGAUCCAUUUUGUGAUCGAAUUGCAAUAAAUCUAAGGAAAAUACCUUUUAAUUUUUUUUUUUAGGUUUGCUGCCUCAGUUUCUUAAUCAUUUCGAAUUUAUAUGUAUAUAGGUUUGCAGCCUAAAAUAAAAGCUAGUUUGUCUUUGUCAUAUUUGAACAAUUUCUUGAACACCAAUUACAAAACUAAUUCAAGAUACCAUAAAAAAAAGUUCAUUUCCUGUAUCUAAAACGAAAUUCAGCUUCAUUAUAUUAUACUUCUACAUGGUGCUAAUGAAUUGGAAGAAACAAGGAUAUCAUCUUCCAAACUGAUAGAAUAAAAUCAUUUGAUGUCAUUGAUGUCACCAUUAGGGCUUAGUAGUUAGUACACAGCCCUCAUUUGCCGAAUGAGAUCGCCUCUAAUCUGGACUGUCCAAAAAUUUCAAAUGGACAAUCCAAAUCAACCCGAUCUCGUUUGGCAAGAUCAGGUGUUGGCCAUGACAAAGGCUUUUAAGGUUAUUAUGAGGUAAGAGAUUAAGAAUUCGACUCUUCCUUCCUAUCAAUUGUCACUAAUACGUGACUUUUUCAAAUUCAAUGAGCAUCAUUUGGCACCCGUUUGGUUCAAGGGUAGUUUAACUCACUUUGGUUUCCAAUGACCUAGUUCAGUCUAUCCCCUUCCCUAUAAUAUAGAAGUAGGAUUAGGUAUAAAUGCAAAAAUGUUUAAAACACACUUUAUAUGUGUAUUCAAUAAUAAAAUGGCACACUCUACGUUUGUGCAAGUAAUAAAAAUAUUUAUUUUGUGAAAAUUUUUUCAUGUAAAUUGAUCAAAAACAAGUAGUAUUCAACUUAAAUGGACAAGAAGCUUCCUCAUAGCAAUUGAAAUAGGAUCAGAUAAAGUGCAAAUGGAAAAGUUCAAGUAAAGCCCAGAAAUAAUUGUUGUAAAGUAAAAUAUGCACGGCAAGCAAGCAAGCAUUAUGCGAUAAAUCCUUCAAAAAAGAAGUAUUAUGCCAUAAAAAAUUUAUAUCUAAUUAUAUCUCACUAUGCAUUAACAUGAAAUCUUAUUUACCAUAAUAUAUUAGUCAGUAGUGUUCCAUGUCAGUUUACAUUUAGAAUUUCAUUGCUUCAACUUGUAAAGUUUGCCUGGAAAAGUUAAAAAAAAAAGAACAAUAUUGUCAUUGUUUCUGAUACCAAUUUUAAUGGCGUGAUCUCCCAAUGAUCUUUCGUCUCCAUAACUUUUGAAUAUAAUCGACGGUCGUGCUUCAGGCCGGCCGCUGCUGGCGCCUCCACUUGCGACAAUUUGUUUUCUUCAUUAGUAAUGGGACAACAAAGAUAUAAAGGCACUCAAAUAAAAUAAAGGCAUUCAAAUAAAAUAGAGGUAGUAUGACCUGUUUUCCACAAGGCAGCAAAAACAUUAUUGUAUAGGAGGUAAAACCGGUCAUCAAUUUCAAGAUAGCUAAACUAAACACAGGUUUGUAUAGGAGUUAAAUCAAGAUUUUAGAUGUGUUUUCAAACUUGGACCGGACUGGCCGGUCGAAUCGAGAACUGGCCAAGUGUCCUGUCCGAGUUACUCUAAAAACCCGAAUGUAUAAAAAUUUGGUCAAACUCGGUCAAAAAUCGGGUUUGACGGGCAAACUGGAUGAAUCAGUUUGAUGUCAAAGCUUUUUUUUUUUGAAAUAGUCAAAGCAUUUUCAAAAUUAUGUUUUGGCCCCUAGGUUGUUAAAAAUUAUUAAUAUAUCUCAAAUAUUUAAUACUUUAUAAAUGUUGCCCUAAAGUUUGGUGUUAUUUUCAAUUAAAUCCAUAAUUUUAAUUCUAAACUUGUUAAUGUUCAUUGAAUAAUAUAAAUUGCUACUUGAUCAUUCUAAUUUCUUUCUAUUUUCUUGUUAAAUAUAUUUGAAAUAUCAAAUAUAUAUGAAUAUACAUUUAUUAAUAUUAACAUGCUCUUAAGUAUUUUACAUACAAUAUUUUAAUUUUUAAAUAAUUUUUAUUUAUGACGCCAUCCGGUUCAAUCCUGAUCGAAUCCGUCGAACCCAUUGAUCUCUGACCCCUGAACUCGACCGAGUUGAUGCCCAAUUCGAGUCUGAAAACAUACGAUUUUUGUACUAUACCAAACGGGAUUUGGUGUAGUGAAGCUGCAGAAAGAUGAUAUAAUGCAUAGGUUUUGUAAGGAGUGAUUGCAAAACCCUCAGCUUCUUCCUUCUCUUAAUACUAGACUAGAUGUACGCGAAUGGAGUAAAUAAUAUUAUCUUUCAUAAUUUCGCAUUUUAUCAUACAAUCCUCCUAUUGUUUAAAAUAUCCAAUUAACCUAUCUAUGAUUUUACGUAAAGCCGAAAAUAAACAAAAAGCAACUAUAGUCAUGGUGAUCAACCUAUGUGCAUGCUAGCUAGAAACAUGGUAUAUGUGAAAAUAUGGAAUUGCCACUUAUUCCCCUUAUGGCUUUGCAUUUGGCCACAUAAUCCCCUGUUAAUUUUAUGUAAAGUGGUUAGACACUUGUUGUGCUUAAAUAUUAACUAAUGCUUGGAAAUACUUUUUUUUUUUUUGGUUGGGGUCAAUUUUUCCACUUUAUAUGAUGCUACAAAAGAGUUAAAUGGAUAUUGUUGAAUACAGUGGUAGAACCAAAAACUUUAGUUUAGAGGAGGCAAAAAAUCCAACAUAUAGUAACAACACAUAUUGUAGCUUAUAAAGCAUGGUAAAUUUAAAAUCAAAAUUAUGUAUUUCAAUAAUAAAAGACAAAGUAUAAACCAAACUACAAAAUUUGGAUUCCCUACCAUUCGAUUUCCUAUCAAUGCGAGAAAUAACUACCUAAUAUACUAAUAGAUUAAUAAUUCAUAUUACUGGCCUCGUUUAUUUUUUUCUUACAUUAAUAGAAGCAAUAAUCAUUACGUAGUUCUAAAACAACAAACUCAAAUUAAAAAUAACUAUUUCAAAAUUAAUAAUACAAUUUAAAAUAUAAUAAAAAAAGUUUGAAGGAAAUAAAAAUAAAAACUUGCCUUGCAAAACUGGAGUUUGAGAACAGUUGAUGCUUGAAGCAUAAUAAUGGAGCUUAGAAAGAGUGGAUCCUUGAGAAGCCAGAUAAAAAGUUGUGACUUUGUAUUUUUUUAACUAAUCCUCGUACAUUCUUAAGUCAAGUGGAUUCUAUUACCUUUUAUUUCCUUUAUUUACUUUUAUGUAGUGUUUUUCAGUUGUUAUUUUUCUAUUGUAAGCUGUGAAUGAAUUGAGCAUUUAACAAAUAGUUUGAACUCAACACAUUAAGGGCUCGAUUUGAGGGUGGAUAUUUGGCAAGCUCAAGCUCGAGUUCAAACAAUAUAACAAGAGGAGGAAAUAAUAUAAUAUCGAGCAUGUAAUAUUGAAUUGAACUUGAUCUCAAAUUUAGAGCUCGUAUAGGAUUCGAGUUCAAAUUUUGAAUCGAGCAUAAUGGGUCAAAAUUUCGAUUCGAUUCAUUUCUGAGCCCAUUUGUACUAAUGCUACACUAAUACGAGAAGGAAAUAAGAGUUUAUUUGAUAUAAGAGUCUUAUAAAAAGAGCAAUUAAAGGGGACAAGAAAUAGACAAAUGUAUGAAGAGUAAUUAAGAGGAGCCAGAAGUAGUUAUGCAUGUUAGGGGGAGGGGAAGGGGGAGGAGAUUAAUUGUUAGGGUGCAUUUUAGUGAGAUAUUUUGAUAAUAUUGCAUAAUUUUUUUGACUAAAUGUUGCACUAUUUGGGAGAUUCUACUCAGGUUUUGUGUUUGGUAUUAAUUGCAGGAAGUGGUGAAAAAAGGUGCUGAAAAUCAAAUUCCAGAAGAUUUCCAGACAGCACGCCUAACUCCAACCUUCAAAAGCCGGAUUCUUGUGAUUCUUCGCACAUGGGGAGCUUCAAAAAAAGAGUGAAGUGGCUGGCUAAAAAUUGAAAAAUCAGUGGGGUCACUCCAAAGCGGAAGAAAGUGACUUGUAAUAGGAAUUGUUAUUUAGAAAGUGUUUGGUAUUCGGAUACCAACUUUUUAGGAUAAAAACUAGGACUAGGGUGCGUCUCUUUCUCUGGUAGGCCUGGCCACAAAAAGAAAAAUCAAUUCCUUCACCUUUUUUGGUGGCUACCAACGUGGAGAAGAGAUUGUACUCCUUUUGGUCUUUGACUUUGCUUACUUUUUUGGGAAUAACUUGAGAAGAGCCACUGUUGUUGACUUGUUCAAUUGCUUUUUCCCUUGUUUUGACCGAAUUGGUACAUCAGACUCUUUCUAUGUUUUUUUUUGUGGGAGACAAUAAAAAGUAACGAAUUUUCUUGUUCUUUCUUUCUCUGUUGACCAAUUUCGUGAAACAAGCAUGGACGGUUUUUCUCAACUGCUUUGCGUGGCACGUUCUCCAUUAAUGGAGAACUAACCUCCUAAUUCUAGUCAAGGGGACAACUGAAGAUUGGUUCGACAAUUAUUGUGAGAUCUAAAUUAUUUUAACCUCUUCCUUCAUUUAUUGGUAUUUAUAUGUUUUCUGCUUUUAAUUGUUAUAGCUUUUAUGUAUGAUUGAAUAGUGCACAAUAUUUAAUUAUUUACGUAGGCUAUUUUGCUAUUUGGGGAUAGUUGAAUCCGUAAUUAUUCGAUUACCUCCGUCCCGAUAACAACUGACAUAAUUGGAUUUAUGUCAGAAAAACAUACGAUCUAAUUUAAACAAACCCUCGUAGCGUGUUUGUUAAUUAGGAUUGAGCUUUUUUAAUUCUUAAGGCAAUCUAGAAAUUAAAUCCUAUGGUCGUACUUAGGGUUAUUUCUUGGUUAGAGAAAUAGUUAACGAUCGUACCUUGACUAUCGAAAAAGUAAAGAAAAGCUGGUUGUUUAUCGCGUGCAUGACACUUAUAAUCAAUCUAUUAAUAAUUGUUGGAAUUAUAUUUGAAUCGAUGAUCAGUUGCAUGAACCAUUUCUGAAGUGUACCUUUGGCUAGAGCUCUCCCAAUUAUUUCUUUCAAUGAAUUAUUUUUUUGCCUUUAAUUUGUUUAGUUAGCAAUUCAUUAGCAUUCAAUCCUGAAUCCCCCCGUUUAUCUUGACUCGAAAGGAAACGAACUGUUCUCCAGUCCCUGAGGAGAUGAUCCUGCUUGUUACCGUCUACUAUUUAGUAAAUUUUGUCAGUUAAUUAAUUCUGGUAUAUCGAAUUAAGCAAACUUUUCAAAAACAGGCUGAAUCAAGUAACCCAUUGCACAUCUAGAAUCCCUGCUCCAAUACCUAGAAUUGAUUAUUGACUGCUUUUGGUGGUAAUUAGUUUUAUUAUUAUUAUUGCACAGGUUCGGCACCUAUCAAUUUUUGGCGUCGUUAUUGGGGACUGGCGCUUGAAUUAUUUGUUUCUCUUUUAGUUCAGUUUAUUUUUGAUAUUUUUGAUAGUUUAUGCCACGUUCUUCUCACACAGGAGAAUUGAUAUACGACCCUAAGUUUGAGAAGGCAGCGCGCAGGCGAAAACAAGAGACCAAGAGACGAAAAGAAGGGCAGUCAUCUACUGCAAACGAGUCAGUAGUAGACGAAAUUAGCAUGACCAACAACCGAACACUAAGAGAGCUGGCUGCUCCGGAGUUGAUCCACCAGCCUUUGUGCAAUACAUUCCCAACUUUGGUUGAGAACACUUCCUUCGAACUAAAAUCAGGGUUAAUUCAUCUCUUACCCUCAUUCCAUGGUCUCUCUGGUGAGGAACCCUAUAAACACGUCUAAGAGUUCGAAGUGGUAUGUUCUAACAUGAAGCCUCCUAGGAUUACUGAAGAGUAAAUCAAAUUUAGAGCCUUCCCUUUCUCUCUCAAGAAUGCAGCGAAUGAUUGCCUAUACUACCUACCCGCGGGUAGUAUCACAACAUGGGUCUAGUUGAAAAAGAAAUUUUUAGAAAAAUCUUACCUGCAUCCUGGGCUGCGAGUUUGAGGAAGGAAAUAUGCAGCAGCAGUACCCCGGAGAAUCUUUGUAUGACUAUUGGAAAAGAUUCAAUAAGUUGUGCACUAGAUACCCUCAGCAUCAAAUUAGUGAGCAGCUAUUGAUCUAGUACUUCUAUGAGGGGCUGCAAUCAUCUGACAGAAGCAUCAUCAACGCUGUGAGUGGAGGAGCACUGGCAAAUAAGACACCGAGAGAAGCAUGGGAGUUUAUUGAAGCAAUGACAAAAAAUUCUCAAUAAUUUGGCUUCCGUGAGAGUAACUCUCCUCUACUACCCACCCGUAGGGUCAACGAGGUAGAGACGUCAUCCAUUCAGUAGCAACUGUCAGAGUUGACGUCUUUUGUUCGACAAUUAGCCAUAGGGAAUGCGCAGCGAGCGAAGGUAUACGGAGUUUAUACAAGUAUGGACCAUCCCACAGAUGCAUGCCCCAUUGUGCAAGAAGAUGGAGCUGAGCAAGUAAACAUGGCAGGUGGCAUCCCAGCGUCCCAUAGACAGUAUGACCCGUACUCCAACACGUAUAAUCCCGGUUGGAAAGAUCAUCUCAACUUCAGUUACGGGAACAAGUCGCAGAAUUCGUUCGGGAAUCGUCCUCCAGGAUUUCAGCAACCAUGGCAAGUGAAACCUCAGCUUUCAUUUGCAGAUUCAGGAGAAUCUUAGGCAGACAUUUUCAAGAGUCUGGCCAUAAGUACUGCUCAAUUUCAAAAGAAAACUAGAGCGAGCCUGUUAGAAACUGGAGCGGGCCUGUUGAAAACUAGAUCGGGCAUGAAAAAUAUGGAGAUCAAAUAAGUCAUAUGACAACUGCAAUUAAUCGCCUGGAGUCGCACGUCUUUGAAAAAUUGCCAUCACAACUCGAGACAAAUCUCAAAAAUGUAAGUGCCAUGACACUGAGAAGUGGCAAGGAAGUGGAGGAACCUAAGCUGACAAAUCCAAAGAGCAAAAGUGAGGAAGAGAUAAAAAAGGAAAUUGAAGAAGAAUGGCGUAUUCGCGAAGACUCUAAGGUAACAUUUACCUCUUCAAUUCCUAUUAAAUCUAACUUACCUCCUUUUCCUUACAAGUUAGAGAAGACAAAGAAGGUAGAGAAGAAAAAAGAAAUUCUAGAUGUGUUCCGAAAAGUGGAGAUCAAUAUUCCCUUGUUGGAUGCCAUUAAGCAGAUACCAAAAUACGUAAAGUUUUUGAAGGAUCUAUGCACCCACAAGAGGAAGCUCAGGGGUGACGAAAGAAUGGCAGUGGGAGAAAAUGUGUCGGCUAUAUUUCAAAGGAAACUCCCACCAAAGUGUGGGGACCCAGAUAUGUUCAUAAUUCCAUGUAAAAUAGGAGAUACCCCAAUUAGAAAAGUAAUAUUGGAUCUAGGGACGUCGAUUGAUGUAAUGUCUAAAACUAUUUAUGCAUUUCUAAAUCUUGGGCCAUUAAAAGGCAUAAGCAUCAUAAUCCAACUAGCGGACCGUACCAAUGCUUAUCCAGAGGGGUUAGUUGAAGAUGUUUUGGUGCAGGUCAAUAAGUUAGUUUUUCUAGCAAAUUUUUAUUUCCUAGAUAUGGGGGAUGAAAGAUCAGUAAAUUCGUUACCUAUUUUGUUAGGUACACUAUUUUUAAGCACUGCUAGGACAAAAAUAGAUGUGAAUGAGAGUACUCUAUCAAUGGAGUUUGAUGGAGAAAUUAUAAAUUUUAAUAUUUUUGAUGCGAUGAAAUAUCCGGAAGAAUUUAACUCUAUUUUUAUUUUGAGUGUUAUUGAACCCCUUGUAUAGGAAACCAUUGAAUUGGAGGGAGAGGAUGCAUUGGGAAUGAUUUUGGCCAGACAUCUUGAGUUAGGAGCAACUCUUAGUGUGAAAAUAAGUGAUGAGUUUUACCGUGCGGUUGAAGCACUGCACUCACUUCCAUCAAUUUCUUCAAGGUAUGAGCUCACUUCUGUUUUUGUACCUGAAACUCAGAAAAAGUUUUUGCCUUCUGUUGUACAGGCACCCGAGCUGGAGUUCAAGCCUUUCUCGAACCAUUUGAAGUAUGCAUUUCUCGGGAAUAUGAUUGGCUCUUUGUGGACCAUAUUUGACUGUAGAUUUCAAGAGUGGCCAAGGUGCUGGCCCUGAACUGAAUUUUGAUAAAACGUGACUUGAUUAGGGUGAGUAUUUCUUGUAUGUUUGUGCAAUAAGUGACCAUGUGAAUAUCUGUGAGUGAUUGUUUGAAUGUUAAAUGAUUUCUAAUGAUUGUUAAAUAGGUUUUCGAUGGGCGAGUGCGUACUUUAUCGCAGUCAACCCAAGCCAAAAAGUGAAUUUUCAAUGAUUGAAUACUACUUCGUUGCCAGUUGACUUGAGCCAGAAGAGGAUUCGGUCGGGCGGCUGGUGACUCUGAAACAGUGUUUUGGUAUACUCGAGUAUGACUACGAAAGUUGAUGGAGAACUGGCCAGUGAAUUGGCUAGUGGUGGAAAAUGAAAUGAAUGAACUGAAAUAUUGAAGUUCUAAGUGAAGAAAUUAAUGAUUGAAGGAAGGAGAAUGACUGGCUGAAUGAAUGAUGGAUGGAACGAAGGGCUCUACAUGAGCAUGUAUCCUUUUAAUGAGUGUGUUUUCAUUAUUUUUAUAUUGUGAAUGUUUUCUAGAAUGAUUAUUAUUAAAUUAAUAAUGUCCUUGUUUUAAUUGUUUGGUUAUGUGUAGGGGAACCUUACUGAGUUUUAGUUCACCCCUCUAUUCCGUUACAUUUGUUUUCCUUACAGGGUUGAGAGCAAGGACGAACGAUUAGAGGACGACUAACGUUUGACUGGAACUUUUGUUGUGUAAUAGUGAUAAUAUUAGUAGUUGGUUGGAUCUUGAAUUUUUGUGCUUAACCUUGAGGAUUGUAUAUCUGUGUUAAUGAUUGUAUAUAUGUUAAGUUUGAUUGGCACAUCUUUACUUGCUCUUGAAGCGAUAAGUGAGUGAGUUCCGAUGAGAGUUGGGCAGGCGGUUCGCCGAAUCCCCUUUGGUUCGCCUUAGGGGGAGGUGGGGUCGUCACACGUCUCUUCCUCCAUCUCGGUGCCGUCGCCGCUACUCUACCGCUGUCAUCCCUACUACCUAUCCUCCACUCAGGUAAUUUUUUCUUUAAUUUUCUGUUACUUUUAGUUGAGGACAGAUUUUUAAUUGUUAGCUGAGGCCAGAUAUUAUAAUUUGUAGCUGAUGACAGAUAGUUUGUGUUUAAUUGGGGUGCUGUGAUUUGGUCUUUGGCUACUUUUGGCUAUCUGCUCAAUUUUGCAUUAAAAUCGUGGUAUUUGGGGGUUUUUUGCUGUGUUUACCCGUUUAAUUAGUUUUUGGUGUGUUUAUUGUCUAUUUCCUUAAUUGUCGGUGUUUGGAGCUGUGAUUGGGGAGCCUUUGUUUAAUUGGCUGCCAUUUGACUUAUUUUGAGUACUUGGACCUUGCCCCUGCCCUGUUUACUGGUAUCAAAUGGCUAAACUAAAAGAUAAAAAAAGGAAUAGACCAUCCACCUCCAACCCACAGCCAACUGUACCUUUGAGUGGGCCUUCCCAAGCGACUGUUCCGGGAGGCUCCCGAACCCGCCUUGGGCGGAAUAGGGAGGUUCACAUCUUCUCUCCGACCCACUUCGGGGGCCAUUUGACCUUUACCAGGGCUGCCGAUAAGGAAAGGUAUGCCGCUGCUUGCACAAGAAAAAUUAUUCCUUGUAAGUUUAUCCACGGCCCUACACUUGAUCUUCUGAAUAUCAGGGAUGAGGUCACUAGAAAGUUCGCCGCCAUAGGCUGGACCUGUUAUGCUGCUAUCAUUUUACCUGCUUUCAUUAAGUUAACGUGGGAAUUCUAUGCUACUUUUGAGUUUAAUGUCCCUGAUGAAUUCUCCGUUAAUACUCUUGGGGUGGUACGUUUUAGAUUGAUGGGUAGGGAGUUCGCACAGUCUAUCACUGAGUUUAAUUUGACUCUUGAUUUUAUUGACAUUCCAUACUCUCAAACUGAUGAAUAUAUGGCAAGUGCCUACAAGUUCACUGAGCCCUUCUUUUCCCAUAACACUGGCUAUUGGCGAAACUUAUCGGUUGACCGAAAAUCUUAUGUAUCUAACCAGUCUAAAACCUCUUUCCUUAAGAGCCCCAUUUUUCGCUAUUUACACCGUUUUAUGGCUUAUAGCUUCUCUAGUAAGAAAGACAGUUUAGUUAUUUUGACCAAACCUGAGUUCUUUUUUAUUUGGUGUAUGGUUGCUGAGGUUAAGGUCAACUUGGGUUGUUGGUUUGCUUCUCACCUCUGAACUGUUUUAAGCAAGAAAAAUAAGCUGUUAAUUCUGGGCUCUUUUAUCACUCAAUUGGCUAUAAAUCUGGCGAUUCUGGACUUAACUAAUCAUAAUCUGCAUUUGGCGUGUACUAUGAAACCUCUUGAUUUAGUUUGUUUGGAAAAGAUGGGUCUAGUGCAACAGGUACAUGGUGUCUUCCAAUUCGUCCCCCCGGGGCCGAUCCAGGUUCCUCCUAGGCGCAAAACUUCUAAAUAUGCCACUUCGGAGACUAGCGGUCUUUCUACUGACGCCGCUGGGCCUUCCUCUUCGGCACCUCUACCGUCGUCCUUUGCUGACAGACAGUCUUCCGACCUCCGCUUCAGCUACAUCACAUGGAUACUUGAUUAGAGCGGAUCGAGCGCCAAGUGUGCGGAAUGGUGCAGAAUUUAGCUCAGUACUUCACCCACGUGGGCUUCCGUCCACUCUUUCCUCCCGAGCCUUAAUCCGUUUCUACCCUCCUCCGUGUUCAGGGAAGUGUCGUUGCUCCAUUACCUCUAUUUUUGGUCUUUAUUUUCUAACAUUGAGGGCAAUGUAAGGUUUAGGUGUGGGGAGAGUUAACUAUGCUUUUAGUUAUUUGAUUUGCAUUUUCUUUGCCUUAGUAGUUCUUUGCUUUAAACAAUGAUAACUGCAAUUGAGAUACGAGUAUGAGUAGUAAGUUCAUGCCAUAGGAUUUUCUACUUUUCUCGAUAAUGAAUUGAUUGAUGAAUAUGCUGAACUUGACAUAAUUUUGACCACUUGUACGAUUUUUGGGCUUAAAUUUUCGUUUAUUGAGUGGUUAUUGCACAUGAUUUGUCAUUCUAGAACUUACUCGGUUAUGCAUGUCAAGAUCACAUUUAAUUGAAUUUGAUGCAUUAAAAUGAUGAGGGCACCUAGGAUUGAACCAUUUUUUUUUUUACUUGCUCAAGAACCUACCUUUAUCUUAUCUACCCUUAAUGAGUCAAGUUGAGCCUUUACCCCUUUUUUUCGUUUGAUACCCUAAUUGUUACUCGAAAAACCUUCUUUUUAGACUUUCUCUUUGUACCUUGAGUUAAAGAAAUGCUUUGAUCUCAUUGGCAUGGGAGUUUGGGAUAUUAUUUGAAAGGCAGUAAAUCGAAAAUGCAAGUAUGACAAGUGAAGUUGAUUUCCAUGGUGUCGGUAUUCAAAAAAAAAAAGAGAAAAGAAAAAAAAAGAGGAAAAAGAGAGAAGCAACAAAAGAAAAAAAAGAGAAGAAAAAUAUAUGAAGAAAAGAAAAAAAAAAGAGAAGUUGAAAUCAAAGUAUUUGUGAUAAGUGCCGACUAUUACUUCACUUGUUGGGUCGUUGAUACGCCUUGGAGGUACAAAUUUGCAAGAACCUGUGCAAUGAAUUUGAGGGCAUCUUCUUUGACCUUUUUACACCCUUAAAAUCCUUUUUAUCCAAUCCCUUCACCCGAGCCUCAUUACAACCCUGUGAAGUCCCUUUGAUUGGUGCAUCUAAUUCAUAAUUAAGUGGUGGAGAUAUGAUAUAUAAGCAAACUUAUGGUAAUGUCAUUCUAUUGUGUUGAAUUGAGAGUCAUUCUAUAUCUUAUACACAUUGGAGUGAAUGAUUGCACAUUAAAUGUGAGAAUUGUCAGUUUGGUAUAUCCUGAUUUUGAUGAGAUUGUUGAGGAAAUUUGAAUACCGUUAUUGGUAUGAACUGCUGUGAAUUGCUUGGUAUCUUAAUUGCACUUAUGAGUUAAUUAUGCUUGAAGGCAAGCAUAGUUUAGGUGUGGGGGAGAUUGAUAGGAUGCUUUUUAGUGAGAUAUUUGGAUAAUAUUGCAUAAUUGUUUUGACUACAUGUUGCACUAUUUGGGGGAUUCUAUUCAAGUUUUGUGUUUGGUGUUAAUUGCAGGAUGCGAUGAAAAAAAAGUGCUGAAAAUCAAAUUCCAGAAGAUUUCCUUACAGUUAGGCGUGCCCACGCCUCACCCCAACCUUCAAAGCCAGAUUGUCGUGAUUCUUCGCACAUGGGAGCUUCAAAAAAGGAGUGAAGUGGCUGGCUAAAAAUUGGAAAAUCAGUGGGGUCACUCCAAAGCGGAAGAAAGUGACUUGUUAUAGGAUUUGUUAUUUAGGAAGUGUUUGGUAUUCGGAUACCAACUUUUUAGAAGAAAAACUAGGACUAGGGUGCGUCUCUUUCUCUAGUGGGCCUGGCCGCAAAAAGAAAAAUCAAUUCUUUCACCCUUUUUGGUGGCUACCAAUGUGGAGAAGAGAUUGUACUCCUUUUGGUCUUUGACUUUGCUUACUUUUUUGGGAAUAACUUGAGAAGAGCCACCGUUGUUGACUUGUUCAAUUGCUUUUUCCCUUGUUUUGACCGAAUUGGUACAUCAGACUCUUUUUAUGUUUUUUUUGUGGGAGACAAUAAAAAGUAACGAAUUUCCUUGUUAUUUCUUUUUUUGUUGACCAAUUUUGUGAAACAAGCAUGGACGGUUUUUCUCAACUGUUUUGCGUGGCGCAUUCUCCAUUAAUGGAAAACUAACCUCCUAAUUUUAGUCAAAGGGACAACUGGAGAUUUGGUUCGACAAUUAUUAUGAGAUCUAAAUUAUUUUAACCGCUUCCUUCAUUUAUUGGUAUUUAUAUGUUUUUUGCUUUUAAUUGUUAUAACUUUUGUGUAUAAUUGAAUAGUGCGCAAUAUUUAAUUAUUCACGUAGGCUAUUUUGCUAUUUAGGGGUAGUUGAAUCCAUAAUUGUUCGAUUACCUCCGUCCCGAUAGCAAUUGGCGUAAUUGGGUUUAUGCCAAGAAAACAUACGAUCUAAUUUAAAUAAAUCUUCGUAGCGUGUUUGUUAGUUAGGAUUGAGCUUUUCUAAUUCUUAAGACAAUCUAGAAAUUAAAUCAUUCGGUCGUACUUAGGGUUAUUUCUUGAUUAGAGAAAUAGUUAACAGUCGUACCUUAACUAUCGAAAAAGUAAAAAAAAGCUGGUUGUUUAUCGCGUGCAUGACAGUUAUAACCAAUCUAUUAAUAAUUGUUGGAAUUAUAUUUGAAUCGAUGAUCAGUUGCAUGAACCAUCUCUGAAGUGUACCCUUGAUUAGAGCUCUCCCAAUUAUUUCUUUCAAUUAAUUAUUUUUUCACCUUUAAUUUGUUUAGUUAGCAAUUCAUUAGCAUUCAAUCCUAAAUCCCCUCGUUUGUCUUGACUCGAAAGGAAACGAACUGUUUCCCAGUCCCUGAGGAGACGACGACCCUACUUGCCACUAUCUACUAUUUAGUAAAUUUUGUCAGUUAAUUAAUUAUGAUAUAUCGGAUUAAGCAAACUCUUCGGAAACAGGGUGAAUCAAGUAACUCAUUGCACAUCUAUAAUCCCUGCUUCAAUAUCUAGAAUUGAUUAUUGACUGUUUUUGGCGAUUGUUAGGUUUUAUUAUUAUUAUUGCACAGAUUCGGCACCUGUCAUUAAUCUAGUUUAGAUAAAAUGUCUUAGUCCCUUUAGGAUUAUUCCGAAAGUUUUGGGGGUUGUGGGGGAGCGAAGGGGCUGCUCCUUCCCAGCCCCCCUGUUCCAUCCUUGGUUGAAUAAUAAGGGAUUUGUGAGGUAUUAACACCCAUGCAAAUUUGGUACUUAGACAAAAAUAUAGAUUAUCAAAAUUGUUGACGCACAUCAAUUUGAUUUUGACUAUUACUUAUUGUGAUUUUCGUUAGUUGUCUUAAAUUGGGUUGAAGACAAAUUUUGUUUUAAUCGAAAUAUUAGAUGGACUAAAUACUGGGGACCAAAACUGAUACUUUUGUUGCACAUUAAACGUUUGAUUUUGGAGGGAUUAUUGAUUGAGUUUAAUUCUCCUUUCGCAUUUCUGGUUCAAAAUAGUUCGUCUUUGUCUUUGGCAUUUUCUAAAUAAACGGUGAUUUGAAAUGGAGCUUGUUACACGAACAUUUGCCCACUGCAGAGUCUGAAAGGAAAUGCGCAUGCUAAACAAAUAUUGAGAUCAAGGCAUCCAAGCUGAAUUCUGGUCCGGAUACAAGCUUUCAAGGAAACUUUCACGUUAACCAAUGAAAUUAAAAUUGAGAGCAGGUGCAAGGUCUCUUUCAAUCAGAAUAAUUGCUUGACAAUAGUCUGAUUACAGUAAUAAAAAAUUUAUUAGGUAGCAAACUGAUAAUAUAUAAAAAAGGGAUUCAAUAUUGACAUAUUGUCAUUGUUGUAAGACCACUUUUCUUGGUUUAAUCUAUCAAUGAUCUUGUCUGCAUAAUCUUUUGAAAUAAUCUACAAUUCUGCUUCAGGCCGGCUGCUGUUGCACUUGCCUUAAUGAUUAUGUCUCCAUAAUUUUUUAAAAUAAUCUACAAUUCUGCUUCGGACCGGCUGCAGCUGCACUUGCACUCGGGGAAGAGGGGCAGGAACGGUUGUAGGAGGCAAUUGUUCCUGACAGUUCAGGUCAAGAUUUGAUCAAAAAAAUUAUACGGUCUAAAUUUUAUCUUGUAUUUUGAUUUUAACAAUAUGUGUGGGAUCCAUAAAAUUUUGCUCUAAAGUUACAUAUUAUUGAAAGUAAAUUACACCAUGUACAAAUAAAAUUACGUCGUAUGCAAAAUACACAUCACUGUCCCUGCAACCGCUCCUGCCCUGAUCCUUUGCACUUGCGAAGUUGUCAGAGUCAUUAGCUGGCCUGCAAAUAUAUAUAUAUAUAUAUAUAUAUAUAUAUAUAUAGAUAUAUAUGUCACCUAAUCAUGAUGUUAACCAGCUCCGUGCGCACAUCAGGAGUACCAUCACUAUAUAUAUAUGCCAAAAUCUUGCGAUCUAGAUAGUUUUUUUUUUUUUUUUUGAUAAACGAUAUAAUCUCACACAAUGAAAUAUGCACUAACGUGGCAGAAAAUACUUUACUUAUAUCACAGAUACAAUAAAUCCGAAAAAUCAUUGCAUCUAAUAGAUCUAGAAAAUUAAGGCUUGGUAAGGUGGGAGACAAGGUUCAAAUCUUGCCUCCCACCAAUUGCUACAUUAAAUGACUUCUUAAAAAAUUCAGACUAGUGCGCUACGUAUCCGUCUGGUCCGGUGGUGGUUCAGUCCUCACCGGCCCCCGUAGACCCAGUUAAAUCUCCUCCUUAGAUUAGAAUAGUGUAGGAUUGACGAUCUACAAAAAAAAAAAUAGAUCUAGAAAAUUACAAAAAUUACAUUGGGAAACUCAACAAAUUUGGAAUUUAGACAAAUCACGAACAACCCAAUGAAUAUCCAUGUAUGCCAAUGCUAUCUGAUCUACUAUUCAACUUGUUCAAACUCAAAUUCGAUGUUGAGAUCUAACGAAAUAACUUAAAAAAUUUUAAUGAUCUAGAAAAAUUGACCCCUGAGGUUGAUGAAAUAUAUGAAAAUGUACAUGUAAAAACGUCAAUAAAUAGAUUAACACAAAAUGUUGAUUAAUUAACUAUUCAUUAGGGAUUAGUACCACCUAAUUUUUUUCAUAUAUAUGUCAAAAAAUCCAAAAAGAUUCAUCAGAUAGCACUCGUCAAUGUGUCAAGAAUAGGACCAAAAAGAAAUACAAGCUUUUAUAUAAAAUACCAGUACAACCUUAGUUUCCUUUAAUAAGAAAAAUAAUUCAGUUAUAAAGGGGUUUCAGGGUAGGUUUGUACAGGAGAUAUAACCAAGGGUGUUUGCUUAUAAUUAACCAAGAAUAUUGUGUUACAUAAGCUGCGGAACGGUAAGAUUUUGUACAUAGUCAUACCAUAAACCAGAAAUAUUGUUCUGCAAUUGUUCCAAAAUUUACAUAAUUUUAGUGUUCAUUUGACAUGAACUUUAACAAAAUGCCAAGAAAUUGGGAAACAAAUUGAAAAUUUUGGCCAUAGGUUACUGAGCUAAUUUCUCGUCAUGUUGAACUUGAAUCUCAAAGUUCUUUCUAUGCAAAAUGAUUUUAAGAAGCUUGAAAAUGCUAAGCAUGUCAUCUCAUCAGCCCGGACAACUCAACUAAGAUUUUGAAUAGAUUUAGUAACCAAUGAAGCACUUUGCCCUAGUUUUAGAUAUCAACUUCAUGUUUCCACCACCACCACCUCCACCACCACCCCCGGGCCCCCAAAAAUGGCCCCCAAAAAUGUUAUGAUUAAGUUCUCAAACCACUUGAACAAAGAUUAACACAACAUGUUAAUUAAAUUUUCUUAGGUGACGAUUUUCUUAUGUGACUUAAAACAUCCCAAAAGAUUUUGUCUCGUAACAUUUAGAAUUGUGUCCGUAAUAGACCAAAAAGCAAUAAAGGCUUUCAGAUAAAUUAUUAGUAUAGGCAGUGUUGCCUCGAAAAGAAAAAUUAGGUAAGAAGGGUGUUGAAUGUUGAGAUUCUGAAGACAAGCUCCAAAUGUCCAAAUGUCUGAAUGAUACGUCUAACUGGCUAUGAAUGCAGACCAUACAUAAGUUAAUUUAUAAUCUUAUUAACCUCAAUAACAUUUAGAAAAAAUGUCAAUAAUCCAUCAACAAUGCAGCUCAUAUUAUUCAAUUCAAAUUCACAAAAUUUUUUUUGAAAAGUUCAACUGGAAAGAUAUAAAGUAGAAUGAUUAAAUGUUAAUGCGAAGUUGGAUAUGAGCAUGAUUCGUAUAUUUUAUUCUUAAAUAAUUAAUUCAUUCUAACUAUACAAUUGCAUUUCAUUUGUCUUAGCAAGGAAAAAUAAUAUUUAAAAUGUGGAUACAAAUUUUUUUAUUUGUUAAAAUUUAUUGAUUUCAUUAGAAACUUAACUUUGGGGUUUAUUUUUAAGUAAGAAAAGGCAACAUCUAGACUCUGGUUCGUAAACGAGCUUUCCAAAGGUUAAAGAAAGGGGUGAGUGUGGUGAAAAUAAUUAGAAUGACAAAAUCUAACAAAUCAAUUUAUUUAUUCUAAUACCCCUUUAGAAAUUGAUUUUACGACUUAAGUCUUUAUUUUGCUAAUAAUUAUGAAUUCUAUUUACUAGGAUUACACUUGACAUGUAUGCAUGUAUUUCCUGUUCAACAAUAUUAUUUGUACAAUAUUAAAAAAAUAAUAUUAUGAUUUUAUGGUAAAAAUAUUGUGAGUAUAGAACAAAUUUGGUGAAAAAUAACCGUAUUAGAAAUUAUUUAUCAAAGCUGAAUCCAUAAUUUACCAAAAAGAUCAACAUAAAUUAAAAAAAGAAAACUCAAAAUGAAUUAAAAAAUAAUAGAUAAAAGAGUUCGUAUUUAGAUGGUCUUUGGAAUAAUAAUUGGUUAAUAAAAAUAUGACAUAUUUUAUUAUCAGGCAAACAAUCAAAUAUCACAAAAAUAUAUAUCUAAGACAUGUUAUAUUUGGGUUAAUAUAAUCACGUGCAAAGUACGUGAACUAUUACUAGUUUAUUAAAUGAAUUGUUGAUUGAAUUCUUGUUGUUCAUCUCAAAAUUAAAGUCCUACUUCAUUGACAUAAGCAAUUACAUAUAACGUGCAAGACUAAUCAAAAUAAUUUGGCAGUAUGCUGUGAUUAACCCGGUGCGAAAUUAGUGCUGCUAGAUGUAUUAAAAGAUUAUUAAGAGCGUAAUUAAUGCUGUAUUAUUCAAACAUUUGGACUAAUGACUAAGGGAGUGCAGCGGAGUCGUUUUCUAUAAUUUUUUUUUAAUAAUACAAGAAAUGUCCAUUGACUAUGUGUCCUUUCUUUUCUAUAUACUAGCAAUCUAUGACCAGAGAAAGAGGAGAGCACUCGAUUCUGAGGUUUUGCAGUUCUUUAUCUCCUUUCAUAUUUGAGAGUUGUCUCAUCUCCAAAUUGAGAUCCCUUCUGGUUCUCUUAUUAAUCUUCUUUUGAUUAGAUGGCCUCCAGUAGUAUUACUUGCAUUUCUUCCGCCUUGGAUGAUUUGCAAUCGCUCUUGAAUAUUUUUCAUUAUCCGGAGUUUUUGCUUAGCGUGAAAAACUGGCUAACAUUUCUGAGAACAUUUAUUUUGUGUGCGACAAAGUGGGGCAAAGAUUAUGUGCAUUUAGCAUCUGACGACAAAGAGGAGGUAGAUAAUCAUCAUGCAAGUCUAGAAGCUCUGAUAGUUCGGAUUGAAGACGCCAUUUCCAAAAGGGCACAGGAGCUUCACUCCAUUUAUCUUUCUAGUUCGGAGAAUCCAUCAUAUAAUCAGGCUUUCAAGAUUGUCGAUUGUAUAGAAGGAUCAGACAUGGUAUCUUUGAGGCCAGAAAUUUACAGAUGGUACUUCUUCUUCUCAGAUUGCUCAUCAAAGCUUUCUAGUAAUUUGAUUGUCAGAAAAGAUGACAUUAUGGAAUUCAUGGAUUCUCUUCUGGAGAGUCUAGAGGAUUUUCAUGACUGGGGAUUUGCGGAUGGUCUCAUCAAAGCCCUCGAAGAGAAGCUAGAGUUCCUGAAAAACUUCAUCCGUUUUGUGACACUACAUGACGUUGAAGACACACAAUUGGGACCUUUAUUGACUCACGUUAAAGCUGUGGCUAUCAAAGCAGCACGCCUCUCUUAUCAGUGCAAGUUCGAGAAGAAAUCCGAAUUGCAGGAUGAAACUGACAAAAGUAUUUUGGAACUGCUGCUGAAGAUUAUUCCUGUAGAGCCCCAAGUCCAUGAGACUUGUGUCCAGGCUCUGAUUGCUUCAAAGUUAUCAAGAAAAUCACUUGGGGACACAGAUGAGCAAAUAUUGAGAGAUUUUGUUGAUUCUCUCCUGUGUAAUCUUGGGGACAUACUAAAAUCUGGUACGUCUCUUAUGAUUUCUUUAAAAAUCAACUGCAAAUGGUUUACUAAGGGCGAAGAUCCUUGAGAAUCAUUCUCAAGAGGAACGCCAAAGAGGUUUGAUGAGAAAGUAAGGGAUCCAACUGUACUUUGUGAUCUGUGAUGCAGGACUUGCUAUUCUCUCUCCCUCUCUAAAUGCAAUCAAAGAUGGUGUAUUAUUAUCCCAGGAUAUGGAACUUUUGUCUUCUGAUUUGUUGAAAAAGAUUCAGCUUAUUGAGACAACGGUUGCACAGAGAUGUCCAGAACCAUCAUUGUUCGACUAUCCUAAGACCAACGGAUUGGGCUUUAUCGAUUUCCUUCUAGAAAAUCUGAUGGAACUGACAAGUACUGAGGCUGGCUCGAUCACUUUCAUGAAUCAUCCAAUUCAAGCAGUCCAGGAAGAACUUGUUUGUUUACGCUCUUUGCUGGGGAGAAUUGUGGAGUUGCGCAGUGAAGAUGAGGAGCUCCAAGCAAUUCGGGAUUGUGCUAUAGAGGUGGCAUACAAGAUAGAGUUUCUUGUUGAUUCCUUAAUGGUUGGGGAUGAUCUUGAUUCUUCUUCAAUGUCGUUUCAUUCCAUUGUAGAAGAAAUUAAGAUCAUUAAGGCUAAGGCUUUGCAGAUUUGUGAUAAUGAUAGACUUCAUGGCAAAGUUAAGAAAGUAAGCAAGAGGCUCUUUCACAUGCCAACACAGUUAAAUAAGCCAAUAAUCAAUGAUGUGGUGGUGGGAUUGGAGUUUGAGGCUGCAUCGAUAAUUAAUCGACUCACAAGAGGGUCACUCCAACUGCAAAUUGUUUCCAUUGUGGGUAUGCCAGGACUAGGUAAGACAACUUUAGCUAGAAAAGUUUACAAUAGUUCGACAGUUACGUCCUAUUUUUAUAAGCGUGCUUGGUGUACUGUUUCUCAAGUGUAUCACAAGAGAAAUCUGUUACUUGAAAUUUUGAGUUGUAUUGAAUCCAAGCUUCCUUGCAAUGUUUUUGAGAUGAGUAAAGAAGAUCUGGCUCAUGAAGUCAAAAGACGUUUGUUAAGGAACAAAUACCUCAUUGUUUUGGAUGAUGUAUGGGACAUUGAAGCAUUCAAUGGAUUAGAAGCCUCAUUCCCUGACAAUGGAAAUGGAAGUAGAGUUAUCUUGACGAGUCGACGUCAAGAUGUUGCUCCCCAAGAUAAACUUGACCAAGAACCUCAUUCUCUUCGUCAAUUCACACCUGAUGAGAGCUGGGAUUUGCUAAAAGCAAAGUUAUAUCCUGGACAAGAUUUGGCUCCUCCAGAACUAUGUGAAAUUAGACAGAAAGUCGUGGAAAUGUGUCAAGGACUACCUCUUACGGUUGUCAUCCUUGCUGGAAUUCUCUCAAGCAUGGACCGACAUGAUUGGAAAGAAGUUGUGGAAGGUUUAAGUUCAAGGAAUGUUUCUAGCACAGAACAAUGUACCGCUACAUUAGAGCUGAGUUACAAACAUUUACCAGAUAAUUUGAAGGCAUGUUUUCUUUAUUUUGGAGCCUUUCCAGAAGACUAUGAACACAAUACCAAGAGGUUGAUUUCCCUAUGGGUCGCUGAAGGAUUUGUUCAAAAAACUCAGCUCAAGAGAUCAGAGGAUGUGGCAAAUGAUUACCUGAUGGAACUUAUUAGCAGAAGCUUAGUCAUAGUUUCCAAACCAAGAUCCAUUGAUGGGGUCAAAGCUUGUCGCAUUCACGAUUUAUUAUAUGAGUUUUGUGUGACAAAGGCCAAAGGAGAAAAGCUUUUGCAGCUGGUACGUAGGUACGAUGAACUAUCUGCUUUCACCAUGCCAUGCUACCUACGCCGCUUAUGCAUUGAUUCUAAGCCUGAGCACUUUGACAACUUGAGGUUAUUUUCUUCCGCAAUACGCUGUCUAUUAUUAUUCCAUCAUGGUGGUGUAGACCGUGAAAGAAGUUUUGACCUUCGAUUCAUUUUUAGCAUCAUCAAACUUGUCAAAGUGUUAGAUUUGAGCCAAAUUCAACUAAGACCCACUUUUCCAAGAGAAUUGGAACUGCUUGUUCAUUUGCGGUACUUGGCAAUUCUAGGUAAUGGCAGUCCCAUCCCAGCAUCAAUAUGCAAUCUCUCGAAUUUGGAAACUUUGAUUUGGGAAAAUUUUUCGUUUCAUUCUUCAGUUUCAUUGCCAGAUACUAUAUGGAACCUGAAGAAACUAAGGCAUUUACAGUUAAAGGACAAGAUCUCUAAGAAUUAUCAUUUUUCAUUCCCUGACGACAAUCUUGACAACUCUUCACAAUUGUGUGACUUAGAUAUCUUGUCCUGUCUAAGUCUCAAUCCUCUGAAGAACAUCAACAAGCUGUUGAGAAAGUUUCCAAAUAUCCGCAAGCUGAGAAGCUCUCUUUAUCUCAAUCAUGGCUAUGAAUAUCAUGUCGCAAUUGAGUGUCUAAGUCAAUUGGAAUCACUCGAUUUGAGUUGCGUUGUUUACGGUGGUGACCGAUAUCAGUUAGAUAUCCAAUUUCCUUUGAUUAUUAAAAAAUUGACGCUGUCUUAUUUUCGCUUGCCAUGGAGCAAAAUGUCAGCAAUUGGAAAUCUACCCAAUUUUGAGGUGCUCAAAUUACUCGACCGAUCAUUUGAGGGGGAAAUAUGGGAAAUGGAAGUAGAAAAGUUCCCUAAAGUUAAGUUCCUGAAAUUAGAUUCCCUGGAUAUUGUGAAGUGGACAGCCUCUGAGUACGAGGACCAGGACUAUUUUCCUCGUCUCCAGAAGUUAGUGUUGGAAAGCUGUGAUGCAUUGCAGGAGAUCCCUUCUUGUUUGGGAAAUAGUUCAACUCUCGAAAUAAUUGAGGUGUCAAAAUGUCCCAACUGUACCAGUUCAUUGGAGGAAAUUCAGGAAGAGCAAAGAAGCAAUGGAUAUACAGAGCUGAUGAUCCUUAUCUCAUAAUGGACGAUUGAUCUUCUCAAGUAAGUUUGCUUUGGACAGCCAGUUUACUCUACAUUUGUUUUUUAAGUACUUUACUUAUGCACUGCUACGGGUUAUGUUUAUCUGUUUUGCAUCAAGAUCAAGUUGUUCUUUUUCUUAAUUGUUUUUCUUUUUCUUUUUCUUUUUCUUAAUUAGCAUUGGAAGACUGCAAGUUUUUGGAGGAGAUCCAUUCUCGUUUGGGAAUUGUUUCAACCCUUGAAUUCAGUCCCAACUCUACAAGUUCAGUAAUUCAAAUUCAGGAAGUGCAAAUAAGCGUGAGAUAUGCUGACCUGAAGAUCCUUAUCCUAUAAUGGAUGACUGAUCUUCUCAAGUUUGUUUGAUUUAGGCAGCCACUUUAAUCUACUUUUCUUUUCUUAAUCAAUCCUUUACUUCUGAACUGAAACUGGUUAUG